UUGGGAGUCUCUGACUUUGUUGUUCCUCAUCAUGAGCGAGUGUCAUUUAUGAAAAGGGUGUUCCCACCUCAGCUUAGACGUCGUGGACUACUAGUCGAAGAUUUUGCGAGCACAGUGAAUUUAAUGCUGUUGCACUAAUAUUUAUUUUAGUAAUAACCAUUCGUUCUACUAGGGACCUGUGUUAGCAAAAAAACAUUUCUUGCCCCUGAUAUAGAUGUGAAACUCAUCGAGGAGAGAGGCAUUUGUCGCUAGGACGAACAUGUUUUGUGACAAAAAUAAUUGUUGAUUUUAAUAGCCUGACACUGCAGCAUUCCAGAUCGCAACUGUAUUGCUUAGUUUUAAUAUAAAUGUUCGCCGUUUGUCCGAAUUAUCUAGUAAAGUCUUCAUAUUCAAUAGAUUCGACUACUCAGCGUAAUUCAAUAGCCACUUAAAAGUGCAUAUCCUAAGGACCAUCCAGAUAGCCGUCGUUUGUUGUACAAAACUUGUUACCAGAUUUUAAAUUUCAUCGCUGUUGCACAAGGUUAGGAGGCCUGUGCUUGGUUGCAUAAUUGUAACUAAUUUUAUAUGUACAUUGUGCAUCGUAGACGUACUUAGUGUGUGUUGCUCGUGAAAGUAUCGACAAAGAAUUUCUAACAAGAUGCCAUUAUUCGGAAAGAAAGAUUCCGGCAAGAAAGUGCGGAAAGAUACUAAGGAAAUCGAAAAGCAACCAAGCAUCGAAGACAAGUAUGUUAUAAAGGAGUUACUUGGGACAGGAGCGUUCUCGGAAGUACGUCUUUGCGAACACCGCGAAACGGGUCAGGCGUUUGCCGUCAAAAUUAUUGACAAAAAAGCCUUGAAAGGUAAGGAGGACUCGUUGGAAAAUGAAAUUCGUGUGCUGAAGCGAUUUAGCGCCAAACGGCAAGAAAAUGAUCCGGAUAAAACGUGGUUUACUCAUCCAAACAUAGUUCAACUGUUUGAAACGUAUGAAGAUAAAUCAAAAGUCUACUUAAUUAUGGAGCUGGUUACCGGCGGGGAGCUUUUCGACCGCAUUGUAGAAAAGGGAUCUUACUCAGAAAGAGAUGCGUCUUACUUGAUUCGUCAAGUGCUAGAAGCUGUAGACUAUAUGCAUGAACAAGGCGUAGUACAUAGAGACUUGAAACCUGAAAAUUUGCUGUACUAUAACCCUGCGGAGGAUAGUAAAAUCAUGAUAAGUGACUUUGGGCUAUCCAAGAUGGAGGAUUCCGGAUUUAUGGCUACGGCCUGUGGGACUCCCGGAUAUGUAGCACCUGAGGUGUUAGCGCAAAAGCCGUAUGGAAAAGCAGUAGAUGUUUGGAGUAUAGGAGUAAUAUCGUACAUUUUACUGUGUGGAUAUCCACCAUUUUAUGACGAGAAUGAUGCCAACCUAUUUGCACAAAUUUUAAAAGGCGAAUUUGAGUUUGACUCCCCCUAUUGGGAUGAGAUUGGCGAAUCGGCAAAAGAUUUUAUCCGGAACCUAAUGUGUGUUAAUGUGGAGAAAAGGUUUACGUGUAAACAGGCGCUUGCGCACCCUUGGAUUUCCGGAAACGCAGCUAGUAGUAAGAAUAUCCACGGAACCGUUUCCGAGCAGCUUAAGAAAAAUUUCGCCAAGUCGCGAUGGAAGCAGGCCUAUCACGCAGCAACUGUUAUACGUCAAAUGCAACGAAUGGCUCUGAGUAGUAGUGGUGGUGCAUACGGACGCAGUUCUUCUCAACUUAACGCUUCAGCUGCUGACGAAACGGCGGCGCAGGAUACUGCUUCGGGCAGCAAGUAAAAUAUUGGAACCGCUUCAAAUUGUUGCAACAGUUACAUCGCAGAAAUACAGCUAUAUCAUGACAUAAAGGUCUACAUCACUGAGGCAAUGAAAACCAUGUGCUAUUGCAUCUGAUAAAUGUGCGAUAGGAUAGUCAACUCGUUAUUACUUGGACCGUACGAUUUAUUCAAUACAUGCUUCCAAUAAAACUCAAAUACAAAUGGGCUUCAUAUUGAUAUGGUUGGUCACCGCAAUUUUUGCUGGAAUACUCAGUACACUUUGAAAUAUACUCUGUGCAACUUUUGACUAUGGUUCAACGCCUACAUAACAUGAUGAAGUUGGUUGUGUAUAGAUAGAUAUCGUUGGAUGAGCAUCAGUUUUUGCUAUAGAAAGCUAUUCGUUCACGUUAAAAGUUCCAAAUAGAUCCUAAUCGACUGUUAUAUCCGAAAAGGGUUAAGUUUGUUUCAGAUGCAUAAAACACGUUUCAGUUGAUAUCAUAGGUAUUCGAAAAAAGAAAAUGCCAUUAUGUAGGAAACAAUCAGGUUUUGCUAAUAAUAUCGAGAUCUGUUUAAUCAUGUUCAAUUUGUGUAAGCAUCAAUCGAAACUUUUGUUUUGCAUAUCUUUGGCUUUCAUAAAAACCUUGUAUCUUUUGUAUGACUAUUUAGAUGAUUGAAUUGAUGUAUUUUUAAGUUUUUUGAUUAUAAGAUCAAGAGUAGCAUCAUGUAUGUACAUACUAACAAUAUUUUUUCUCUUG